AGAGGGCGUGAAACCGCUUAGAAGGAAACGAGAGGCGCUGCAUUUUCCAGCGAGAUUCACUCGCUGUUCGCAGUUCACUCUGUGACAGUGAGGCAUUUCUUGUUGGUACGCACUGAAAGCUGUGCUGGUUGGGGUCUGACCAUCUAGUAGUAAGGCAUAAUUUUGUGCUGUUUCCUAGAUGUGUCUACCUUUUUCCAGUACAGUCAACAUGACACUCUGUAUUGAUCGGCAUCAGUUGAGCAUUCAUUGUUCUUGUCAGUUCGACUUCGUGUCGGCUGGUGAGCUGCCGUGUUUGUGAUACUGUUGACUGAGUAAGUGUCGUUUCGGUGUGAAAGUCGGCUACCCUCCCGACCCGUCUUGAAACACGGACCAAGGAGUCUAACAUGUGCGCAAGUCACUGGGUUUAUUAAACCUAUAGGCGCAAUGAAAGUAUAGGCCGACUUGGUCGGCUGACACACGAUCUGUGCGGCUUUGCUGUGCAGCGCAGUGUGGUCCCGUCUUGGCUGCUUGUCACUGAGGCGGAGAUUGAGCGUACAUGUUGGGACCCGAAAGAUGGUGAACUAUGCCUGAACAGGAUGAAGCCAGAGGAAACUCUGGUGGAAGUCCGAAACGGUUCUGACGUGCAAAUCGA
rnacentral:rRNA from 4 species